rnacentral:rRNA from 1 species
UACGAAGGGGACUAGCGUUGCUCGGAAUUACUGGGCGUAAAGCGCACGUAGGCGGAUCUUUAAGUCAGGGGUGAAAUCCUGGAGCUCAACUCCAGAACUGCCUUUGAUACUGAGGACCUUGAGUUCGGGAGAGGUGAGUGGAACUGCGAGUGUAGAGGUGAAAUUCGUAGAUAUUCGCAAGAACACCAGUGGCGAAGGCGGCUCACUGGCCCGAUACUGACGCUGAGGUGCGAAAGCGUGGGGAGCAAACAGG